CGUUUUGUGCUGCUCAUUUGGUGGAGCAUGGACUCCGUCACGCCAAGGGUCGUGGGUUCGAAUCCCGCCAGAGCGA